GAUGAACGCUGGCGGCGUGCUUAACACAUGCAAGUCGAACGAGAAAUGGAGACGGAAACCUUCGGGCGGAAGGCUUCAUUUCGAGUGGCGGACGGGUGAGUAACGCGUGGGUAACCUGCCUCAUACAGGGGGAUAACAGUUGGAAACGACUGUUAAUACCGCAUAAGACCACAGCACCGCAUGGUGCGGGGGUAAAAACUCCGGUGGUAUGAGAUGGACCCGCGUUCGAUUAGCCAGUUGGCGGGGUAACGGCCCACCAAAGCGACGAUCGAUAGCCGAUCUGAGAGGAGGACCGGCCACAUUGGGACUGAGACACGGCCCAAACUCCUACGGGAGGCAGCAGUGGGGAAUAUUGCACAAUGGGGGAAACCCUGAUGCAGCGACGCCGCGUGAGUGAAGAAGUACUUCUGUAUGUAAAGCUCUAUCAGCAGGGAAGAAAAUGACGGUACCUGAGUAAGAAGCCCCGGCUAACUACGUG
rnacentral:rRNA from 1 species